AAUUAUUUAGGCAAAGCAAGAAAACAGAACUCAAAUAUGCAGUUCAACCUUCAUGGCUACGGCUGUCUGGGACUCUCCUCCAGUUCAGACAUGAUCAGAUCAGAAGCAAUCUAGGAGUUAAAUUUGAUAGUCAGCUUGCUGGAUUACCUCAGCUGAAAGCAAUUUUACAGUGUCAACUGGAAGGUUCUUCUCUAAUGGUUGGAGAUCCUGCUGGGAAUAAACAGGAGUUUUGUUUCCAUUUUAUUCUUUCUCUACAGUUUGGCUGCAGGGAAACUUGCCUGCAAAGCCCCAGAGCAAGUGGAAGAAGCAGACUGGGAGUGAGAUGCCCCGAGCUGGUUCCAAUUUGUCCUGCCUGUGCACUACCUGGAUUGCCACCAGAUUUCUAGAAAGCACGAAGGUCUCUUGUGGCAGCCUCUUUUCCCCACUGCCUACCCCACGUGGAGCCUGGAGAGCUGGGAUCUGACAUGCCGCUUCCCCGUAGCCUUUGCACUUCUGUAAGAUUCUGUUGUGCUGGUUGGUGCCUCAUAAGCAUGUAAGAAAAAGGGAAAAAAAAGAGAUUUCAAUUCUAUAUGAAACAUAAUAGAAUAAUUAAAUCUCAUGCUGCCAAGGCAAUGUGUACAUAACCAUAGGCUGUCACUCGCAUUUCACUGUUGCUUAAGAAUGAUUAAGUAGAGCAAAUUAGCUAAGGUUUGUUAACGGAUUUUGUUAUAGAUUUCUGUACAAUAUGAAUGCAAAUCAACAUAAACGGAUGCCAAGGAACUAGAAACAAUGCGGCUCCUGUGUCGGCUUGUGAGGUUAUCCUUCAUUUUAGUUUUAGAUAUGGG
rnacentral:lncRNA from 1 species